rnacentral:rRNA from 1 species
UACGGAGGGUGCAAGCGUUAUCCGGAUUCACUGGGUUUAAAGGGUGCGUAGGUGGCUUUGUAAGUCAGUGGUGAAAUGCCGGAGCUUAACUCCGGAACUGCCAUUGAUACUGCUUAGCUUGAAUCACGUCGAGGUGGAUGGAAUGUUACAUGUAGCGGUGAAAUGCUUAGAUAUGUAAUAGAACACCGAUUGCGAAGGCAGUUCACUAGGCGUGUAUUGACACUGAGGCACGAAAGCGUGGGGAUCAAACAGG